GUGAGUGGAGUGGAGUGGAGAGUGCAGCGGCUGCCAAACAAAGUCGGAAAAAAGGAGUUUAAAUAGCAAGAAAGCCUAUGUUUGAGUGGUCGCUUUGUCGUUUAGGUUUGUUAGAACUGUGAGGAACUUCACUGCUGAAGAAAUUUAGAUGCUAAGACAAGCUUUGGAGCUGUUUUCGCCGAAUACGAGUGAGGCUGGACGCUGAACACACCUGCAGCGAAGGUGUUUACCUGUUGAGCUGCUGCAGCCUGGAGGGAAACACCAGCUCUCACCUCACAGACCAAACAGGUGUCACCACUUCAUCCAUGAGUCCAGAGUUCAGGAC